AACGCUGUUGCAGGUCAAGGACUCAAUAAGCAGAUAUUCAGAUUAAUUUAGAUAGCACCAAUCUUUUGGCAUUUUAAAGGAAUGAUUUUAGAGAGCAUUUUAACACUAAAAACAUGAAAUAUGAACUUCUAUGAAGAAUAAAACUUCUGUCUGUCAAUACUGUUGUUUAGCCAUGUACACAAGUAAUGUGAACUUCAAGCAGGGCAUAAACAAAAACUGUAGUGGUGGAAUAAUUAAAAAGCUAAUGAUAAAUUAUCUGUCCUACAAUAUAUAGAGCAUAUUCAGUUGUUUUUACUUUUUUAAUGCAACAUUUGGUAAAUAACCUCUAUUUUCCCCCCGCUAUUAAAUUACUUCUGUUGGAAUGGAUCUACAGCACUGCACAUUUUGUCUCUUGUUGAUCCAGUUCAGUUCACGCAGCUCUCUGAAUACAUGUUGAUGGUCUGAAUCAGAUGUAUUGAAUUAGGGAGACAAAAAUGAGCAGUGCUGAACUCAAGUAUAGGUGUCUUCAGCACAGUGAUGGGAGUUACCAGAUCAGUGGGCGAGGCCAUAACAGAGGGGCGUUUUCGACCGUGUUACCUGAUUUGCUCGCAUCACAGUGACGGUUGUGUUUAGGGGUGGGGUCAGAGACUCGCUGGACAAGGAUAAAGAAAUACAAGAGAACUGAAUCAUGGUCCCUGCACAUGAGGACGAGUGUGUCAUCUUCACUGAGUCCUCACUGAUGAAGCCUUGUCUGUACUCAUCCCUUCUCAUCCUUCACCUUCUGAUUGAUUAUUAAUGUCUGGUUGAACUUGAGUAAGUCAUCUAAACUAAGGUUGUUCAUGUGCCUAAAUAUAAUCCACAAAAACAAGAAGUUCCUACCGUCUGGUGUCCUGUCGACGGUGUGCCACGUCUCAAACGGAUUGGCCAUGUCCUCUUCUAACUCAAGGUGUUGGAGAAUUUCUGUUUUAAGACACAAACAUUUGUGAGUGGGAAAAAAGCACUCCACUCGACGCAUGCCGCAGACACCUGCUGGUCAAAAUGUGUAAAUGCAAGUAAGAACAGUCCAAACAUGACACUUUUUGCAAGGUGUUUAAUCUAUUACAUGUAUUCUACAAAUCAUUAAAUACAUAAAGUGUCUGUA